rnacentral:lncRNA from 1 species
GUUAAUGUUCGAGUCAUGGAAUCAACCACUAAUACUUAUAUUAUAGUAAGUUGUUUACAUCAAACCCCUUACACAGCGGUCUUUUCCCGAAUAUUACAUGGAUGUAAAAUGCCCUUUUCUUCUUUCUACAACAAGCUAGCUAGUAUACUUAAUUUUUUCUUUCAUUUCAUAAUGAAGGAUUUACAACACCCCAUUCUUUACUAUAUUUAUCUUUUCGUAUAAAUCCAAAGACAAUAAAGAAAACAAAAGAAAAAGUGAUCAAAUUAAGAAAUAAUAACUAUAUUUUAACUACAUUUUUAUAUAUGAUCCCAACUGCACUCGAAAUUUGAUCAAACAUCAUGGUUUAUUGAUCACUUUCUUGCUUGUUGAACAAGUUGCUGAACCUAAGGUUUGAUAAUUUAUAUAUCGACUAGGAGCAGACGAUCUUCGUAUACCCUUUGGUAAACAAUCCUCCAGACCUUGAUCACCAUUAAAAAAACCUUCUUUUCUGCCAUUGAUAUUAGGUUUAAAUCUUGUAGAAGCUUCAUUUUCUGCAGUGGCAAGAAAAACCCUAGUAGGAAAGAAGAUGAGAAAAUAAAAUAUAACUAUGAAAAGUGAAUGACAUAGCAUUUUGAGAACUUGUGAUUUAUAUAUAAAUUUUGUUGUGUAUAUAUGGAGAAGGCAAUGGUUU